GAAAUGCGAUAAGUAGUGUGAAUUGCAGAAUUCGGUGAAUCAUCGAAUCUUUGAACGCACAUUGCGCCCCUUGGUAUUCCAUGGGGCAUGCCUGUUCGAGCGUCAUUUGUACCCUCAAGCUCUGCUUGGUGUUGGGUGUUUGUCCCCGUCUCCGCGCGUGGACUCGCCCCAAAGUGAUUGGCAGCCGGCGUACUGGUCCCGGAGCGCAGCACAUGUCGCGCAAACGAGUGCCUUGGUACGGCGGCGUCCAUAAGCCCCUCUCUCACGCUCUUGACCUCGGAUCAGGUAGGGAUACCCGCUGAACUUAAGC
rnacentral:misc_RNA from 1 species